rnacentral:misc_RNA from 1 species
CUUGGUCAUUUAGAGGAAGUAAAAGUCGUAACAAGGUCUCCGUUGGUGAACCUGCGGAGGGAUCAUUACCGAGUUUACAACUCCCAAACCCCUGUGAACAUACCUUAAUGUUGCCUCGGCGGAUCAGCCCGCGCCCCGUAAAACGGGACGGCCCGCCAGAGGACCCAAACUCUAAUGUUUCUUAUUGUAACUUCUGAGUAAAACAAACUAAUAAAUCAAAACUUUCAACAACGGAUCUCUUGGUUCUGGCAUCGAUGAAGAACGCAGCAAAAUGCGAUAAGUAAUGUGAAUUGCAGAAUUCAGUGAAUCAUCGAAUCUUUGAACGCACAUUGCGCCCCUUGGUAUUCCGAGGGGCAUGCCUAUUCGAGCGUCAUUAUCACCCCUCAAGCCUAGCUUGGUGUUGAGACCUGCUGUCAAGGCAGUCUCUAAAAUCAGUGGCAGUGCUGUCAGGCUCUAAGCGUAGUAAAUCUAAUCGCUAUAGACACCUGGUGGACACUCGCCAGAACCCCCCCAUUUUUUAAUGAUUGACCUCGGAUUAGGUAGGAAUACCCGCUGAACUUAAGCAUAUCAAUAAGCGGAGGA